rnacentral:rRNA from 1 species
AGCGAACGCUGGCGGCAGGCUUAACACAUGCAAGUCGAACGCCCCGCAAGGGGAGUGGCAGACGGGUGAGUAACACGUGGGAACGUACCCUUUGGUUCGGAAUAACUUGGGGAAACUCAAGCUAAUACCGGAUAAGCCCUUAUGGGGAAAGGUUUACUGCCGAAGGAUCGGCCCGCGUCUGAUUAGCUAGUUGGUGAGGUAAGGGCUCACCAAGGCGACGAUCAGUAGCUGGUCUGAGAGGAUGAUCAGCCACCCUGGGACUGAGACACGGCCCAGACUCCUACGGGAGGCAGCAGUGGGGAAUAUUGGACAAUGGGGGCAACCCUGAUCCAGCCAUGCCGCGUGAGUGAUGAAGGCCUUAGGGUUGUAAAGCUCUUUUACCCGGGACGAUAAUGACUGUACCGGGAGAAUAAGCCCCGGCUAACUUCGUGCCAGCCGCCGCGGUAA